AGCAGAAAGAGCUCUGUGCAAAUCCACUACAUAGCAACCUAUGUCAUAUUCUUGAUGCUUAUUAAAUGAUAUUGAAUGCUAGAUUGGGACGGUAGAGCAAAGUGGGGAUAAAAUCGCAUAUGGGCACUCCAUAAAAGAAGAGGCCAUUCCCAUUCCAGAUCAGUCUGCCAUUACUAAGGAAAUGUCAGCAUUCUGAUUGAUGGUGUCCUUUAUGAAAGAUUGUGGCCCCUAUUUUCGCCUCUUAUGGAGUUGAGAACCCAUUAUAUGCAGUUAUCCAGCUUGACCACUAUGAGAAGUGAGCUCGGUAUGAUCACUUUAAACAAGACCUUUGAGGAACGAGACACUCUCAACGAGAAGAUAGUGAUAGCCAUCAACGAUGCUGCAAAAGACUCGGGUUUGAAAUGUCUUCGUUACGAGAUAAGGGAUAUAUCACCGCCACAUGGAGUUAGGGCAGCAGUGGAGAUGCAGGCAGAAGCAGAGAGCAAAAGGAGAGCUCAGGUUUUGGAGUCUGAAGGUAAUUAGCUCAGCCUUAAUAUGGGAAUUUGGUGAUAUUGCUGCAAAGGUGGUCACACUUUCCACUGCCAAAAGGCAAAAACCAUCAGUCUUCAAUCUCGUCCCGUUUUCCAACACCACAUCAAAAUGACUAAUCAAACCAUCAAGUCUGCAAGCGGACUUCGUCAGUUCUUUAUGGAGCAAAUACACGUUUUUAGGUCUUUUACUGAGAAUGCUAUUCGUACAAACUUCAAAUCAGGUUUCAAGUAAGUCUAUAUUGCUUUACACUGAUAGAUUAUUUUAACAAUAUGUUGUAAAUAUGUAUGUUAAGAUUAAAACUUCUAGUUAGACCAUUUUCGUACUAACCAGAAACAAAUUAGUGCUGAUGUUUAUCAAGGCAUUAUAGAUAGUGUUCAAAAUG